rnacentral:rRNA from 1 species
AGCCCUACGGUAGCCAGCACUGAGGAAUUUUCUGCAAUGCGCCCAAGCCGGCCAGAGCAAUACCGCCUGAGGGAAUAAGAAGUCCUGUGGGUUGUAAACCUCUUUCUCAAAGAAGAACCUCGCCGUCUGAGAAGCCGUGCCGGG